rnacentral:rRNA from 1 species
AUUGAACGCUGGCGGCAGGCCUAACACAUGCAAGUCGAGCGAGCGGCGGACGGGCGAGUAAUGUAUGGGGAUCUGCCCGAUAGAGGGGGAUAACUACGGGAAACCGUGGCUAAUACUGCAUACUAUCGUUUGAACCCCUAUGGGUUUAGCUAGUAGGUGGGGUAAAGGCACACGUAGGCGACGAUCUCUAGCUGGUCUGCGAGGAUGAUCGGCCACACUGGGACUGAGACACGGCCCAGACUCCAACGGGAGGCAGCAGUGGGGAAUAUUAGGAAAUGGGCGCAAGCCUGAUUGAGCCAUGCCGCGUGUAUGAAGAGGGUCUUAGGGUUGUAAAGUUCUGUCGGCGGGGAGGCGGUACCUGCAGAAGAAGCACCGGCUAACUCCGUGCCAGCAGCCGCGGUAAUAC